CUAUGCUGUGAUUGGUCACACUCCCAAGUGCUCAGAAGGACUUCCGUGUUGUGAAGCCAACUUUAUAGGAGUUGCUAAACUGUAUAGGGGUUGAUAAUAAACGGUGAUUCAUCUUUUUAAAAUAUCUGCUUUUAACAAACAACCUUAUGUGUUGGAUCCCGAGUCCAAUCCAGAAGUAGAGACUGGACAGUCCGACGUUUCUCAAGAAAAUAGGUUACUUCAAGACGUCUCUUAAUUGGCACGCCUACUAUGCUGUGAUUGGUCACACUCCCAAGUGCUCAGAAGGACUUCCGUGUUGUGAAGCAAACUUGUGUUGGAUCCCGAGUCCAAUCUAGAAGUAGAGACUGGGCAGUCCGAAGUUUCUCAAGAAUAGGUUACUUAAAGACGUCUCUCAAUGCUGAAGAUCACAGGUGCUGUGUCCACAACAGGGACUUGAGGUGGUCGAGUCCUUAGGGCCUCAUGGAGGGAUUCAGCUGGACUAUCCUCUUUCAAAAGAGGGCUGAAGAGGACCACAAAACACCAUGGCCCAGCUGCUUGGAUGGAAACUCAACACCAUCUGCACAGGAAAGCCAUGGAUUAUGACCUCCCCCGUCCGUCCUCAGCCAUCUUCAGUGUGGCUGCUGACAAGGAUCGCUAAUAUAUGUGCUUAUAAUUCCAUGCGAUAUUAAAACGUUCUCCUUUCUGCAAUUUAGAUGAAGAAGAAGUAACCGAUACUACACAAUGCAGCACAUAUUGUGCUGUUUAGUGGCAAAUGGAUUGAGUUUCUUGUCAGGAAAUUCCUUCCAUGCUGUAUUUUCAUUGAGGCAAGGGCACAGCUUUGCCUUGAAAUUCUAUUACGAGUCUACCCCAGUCCUGUGAGUGUGCAAUGAAAAGAGCCUUUAUCUGCCACUCACUCAAACCUAAUACCAUGAGUGACACUUUGCCAAAAACAGUUAAAGCGUCUAUUAAUCAAAGACAAACUGUAAAAUAUAUAUACAGUUAAGAGUAGGGUUCGGGUUGGAUUGACAAAAUAAUAAUAAAUAUUCCUUUAACUUUACUGUGCAAUUGAAACCAAUGAGGCAUUAAAUCAGUUGAUAGUUCCAUAUGAAUAAUGGCGCAAUGCUGCUUUCCAGGAGCAACACUAUGGUUAAACCACCUUGACCAACCAAUACUUAUUUCCCACACGCUUUUAAUAUCCUUGAAACCACAUCUCUGUAGUGCUCUGACUAUUUGCAACAGGAUUGGGCAUUGAACUGGACUCUACAACUGGACCAGUAAAAGUCAUGACUAAAACAAAGGCCCAAGUUUAUGAGUGCAACCUGUAGCAAGUUACAGGGGUGUGCAAUGAAGAAAAUAGCACUCGGCAGGGUUGAUUUGCACUGACUCAUUUACACAAGCUUGACAGAUGAAAAUUUGGGAAUUGGGGGUUGAGUAAACAAAGCUGCUCCCUCCUUGUUGACCCCGCCUUGCUGCUGAGAGGGCAGCUGGUGAGCUGUCAUGGUGCAGUGAAGGGGCCAUGAACAGCAACAACAUCAGCAGCUUCUGCACUCAGAAGGGGUGACUGGGAGUUUGCAUUGACCACCGUUACGGAAUCAAGUAAGACUAUUUACAAGAAUUAGGGGUGUCAAAAAUAACUAGUUAAAAUGUAUUUCAAUAUUUUCUGUGUGUAAUUAAUGCAUGCAUAGUAGGGCAGGCACACCUCUAUUAUGACGGCAGACGGAAGAACAGUUGAGCAUCCUCACACAGUAACAACCAGUCUGAUGCUCUUAUUACUUCAUUCUGACCUGAACACAGCAACAGCAGUACAAUUCCAACACCAUAUACUGUAUAUAUCGCCAUCUUACACACGUCUUUAGUCUGUUCAUCCUGGGAACAACACUUCCUCAUUGUCAUUAUUGGAAUGAAAUGCAUUCAGGGACACUCAGAACACCACAAAAUGGCUUUAUAAUGUGUGUGUGUGUGUACACAUGGUAAGAUAAAAAAAAAAUCGGAUGUUCCGUUUGCUACAUUUAAGUAUGCUGGAAAAUACACUAAAAAGUAAAUUUAUUUAAUUAUGUGAUGUCUGAAUGCAACCCCUCAUUGCUCAUAAUAACACUGUUUAAUGUGUGAUUCAAAUGUUCUGACAUAGUUGCAAGUGGUGAUGAAUCCUUCAUUCAUUUUCUACCGCUUGUUAGGGUUGUGGGGGGUGCUGGAGCCUAUCCCAGCUGUCUUGGGGCGAGAGGCGGGGUACACCCUGGACUGGUCACCAGCCAAUCACAGGGCACAUAUAGACAAACAACCAUUCACACUCACAUUCAUACCUAUGGACAAUUUGGAGUGGCCAAUUAACCUAGCAUGUUUUUGGAAUGUGGGAGGAAACCAGAGUACCCGGAGAAAACCCACACAUGCACAUGCAAACUCCACACAGAGAUGGCCGAGGGCUGGGAGGUCUGCGCGGUAAACACUCGACCGCAUGAUCAAUUAAUUAAAAACGCAUUAAUCUGAUUAAAUAUUUUAGUCAAUUGACAGCCCUACUGUUCAUCAGUGCUCUUGUCAAACUUGAUCAAAAUGUAACCAUCCACAGUACACAUUUUGGACCAAAAAUAUGUAUAUCGAAGCAAAUUUUACAGGUUUUGCCUGUGUUAAGCAUUUUAAAGCAGGGAAAUUGCAAAAUCAAACAAAAUACAUGCAUAAGACAUUAAGGAGAUGCAUUCAAAGAUGAUAUGUAGUAUUCUACACUGGUCACUUGGUGACAGUAAUGAUACUUUCACUUACAGGAACAUAUUUGGAAGUUUUUCUGUGCUCCUAUUACAAAAUAUUUCAUAUAGAAACUUGGUGGAAAUUAAUUCACCACGGUCGGGUGUGGAACCAGUUAACCAAGAUAAACGAGGUUUAAUGUAAUGUGUAAAAAAUUCAAAUUUUAAACAUUCAUAACGGAAGCAAAUGUUGGUUGUGGUGUAAAUUAAGGUGCAGAUGUGAGCAACUGCAUUUGUUCACGUUCCUACAAACCACAUCUCCUCCUGGCAGCUCGUGCCCGAUAGCUCUCCCAUCUCCACAAACUCAUGUCUUGGGUUUCUCCAAAUAUUUUCUAAUGCCACUGAAGAAUGUUCUAAUGUUGUUGAAAUAGCAGUACUGUUGCUUUCUUCUUUCACAGGAUACUUUAUGAAGAGGCUUGACUGAAGUAGAAGUUGUACUUCUCCUUAGUAUUUCCCUGUGAGGAUUUGCGAUGUAGUUUUAUUUACAUAACGCACACGCUGCGCACAAUGAGGGUACGAUUGUAUAGCAAGCAUGACUGUCAUGAUUUAUUUAUGUCACUGACAGAAAUUAUUUGCUACUGUAUGAAAAUGAAGGAGUGCAUUUGGCUAAAAAUAAAGCUGCGGUGUCAUGGAGAGUUUCUUUGGACGGUCGAGUCAGGUCUGCAGGGCCUCUGUUCUUUUGCCCAGCCAACAUAUUCCAGUACUUUUCUUACAUAAAUAAACAGAAACCACCAAGUCUGGCCACACUGUGGAAGGGUUUGAGACUUAAUGGCAGUAAACUUUGGCUAAAUUUCUUCCUGUAUUAAAAAAAGAUUGAAAAACAGCAUUAACACAUACAAUAUAUUCUUUUAUAAUAACGUAGCCCUUUGAGCCACAUGGUGAUUGCAUUGUGAACUUUUUGGACACAUUAAACAUUUUGAAAUCAUCAUGACAAUAUAUUUUGAAUUAACUAAACCAAACCGAGUUCCUUCCCAGUCAUUUGUACUCGCAUUUCACUUUUUCAUUGAAUUUGGAAAAAUGUGUUGGAAAGUUUUAAUUUAUCCCUAUCCUACAUUUUCAGAUUUACUGUAAUUUCCGGUGUAUAAGCUGCUACUUUUUUUCUCAGCGUAUGAACGCUAUAGCUUAUUUAUGUUCUGAUCUUAUGAUAUCUCCUUUACUUCAGCAUGACUAAUAAUCAUUUAAAUACUCUUUCUUUUUAUACUCAUGGCAAGCUUAUCAACCCAUUGGAAAUGACAGGAGGCCAUUACUCAAUAUUACUCAUUACUCAAAUUACUCAAUCAACAGUCUGAAUCACGGUGCCAUCUUACAAAGAAUGCUAAAGUCAUCACACAGCAACUUACCACUCAAAAGUUACCUCAGAAGUACCAAUACAAGUUAAAAAAAUUAAAAAGCAACUAUUUCAAUGUUUUGCAUAGGAGAACUUAAGGACUUCCAUGUGUAACAAGUUAUGAUGUAGCGAUAAACGCUACUUAGUAGGCUAUAGUUCCUCAUUAAGUGUGUUUUUUUCCGUAAGAUCAGUAUAUCUAAGCCAGCAAUGGAAUUUUUUUUUUUUUGCUUUCUGAAGAGCUAAAGACCUACCUCAUACAGUCAUGGUGCCUUUAUUCUAACAACUUCACUGAUAGUGGUUUUGCUAACAAAACAAAGUUCAAAACACUGGAUUCUUCAAUAUUUUUCCAAUGCUAUCCAAUAUUCAGUUCUUCUUUAAUUUUUGGUGACAACCAAAGGGGAUGUGCCUCUAUGCAACU